AGUGAACGCUGGCGGUAGGCCUAACACAUGCAAGUCGAACGGCAGCACAGUAAGAGCUUGCUCUUACGGGUGGCGAGUGGCGGACGGGUGAGGAAUACAUCGGAAUCUACUUUUUCGUGGGGGAUAACGUAGGGAAACUUACGCUAAUACCGCAUACGGCCUACGGGUGAAAGCAGGGGAUCUUCGGACCUUGCGCGAUUGAAUGAGCCGAUGUCGGAUUAGCUAGUUGGCGGGGUAAAGGCCCACCAAGGCGACGAUCCGUAGCUGGUCUGAGAGGAUGAUCAGCCACACUGGAACUGAGACACGGUCCAGACUCCUACGGGAGGCAGCAGUGGGGAAUAUUGGACAAUGGGCGCAAGCCUGAUCCAGCCAUACCGCGUGGGUGAAGAAGGCCUUCGGGUUGUAAAGCCCCUUUGUUGGGAAAGAAAAGCAGCAGGUUAAUACCCCGCUGUUCUGACGGUACCCAAAGAAUAAGCACCGGCUAACUUCGUG
rnacentral:rRNA from 1 species